UACGAAGGGGGCUAGCGUUGCUCGGAAUGACUGGGCGUAAAGGGCGCGUAGGCGGAUGGUACAGUCAGAUGUGAAAUUCCUGGGCUUAACCUGGGGGCUGCAUUUGAUACGUGUUGUCUAGAGUGAGGAAGAGGGUCGUGGAAUUCCCAGUGUAGAGGUGAAAUUCGUAGAUAUUGGGAAGAACACCGGUGGCGAAGGCGGCGACCUGGUCCUUUACUGACGCUGAGGCGCGAAAGCGU
rnacentral:rRNA from 1 species